UACGUAGGUGGCAAGCGUUGUCCGGAUUUAUUGGGUGUAAAGGGUGCGUAGGCGGUUCUGCAAGUCAGUUGUGAAAACUAUGGGCUUAACCCAUAGCCUGCAAUUGAAACUGUCUGACUAGAGUCUUGUAGAGGGGGGUAGAAUUCCAGGUGUAGCGGUGAAAUGCGUAGAGAUCUGGAGGAAUACCGGUGGCGAAGGCGACUUUCUGGACUGUAACUGACGCUGAGGCUCGAAAGCGUGGGGAGCAAAC
rnacentral:rRNA from 1 species